rnacentral:tRNA from 1 species
UUAGUUCUAUGGUUAAGUGCUUGGCUGCUAACCAAAAGGUUGGUGGUUCAAACCCACCA